rnacentral:lncRNA from 1 species
CGGGGUGGGAUCCGACGGCCCCGGUGCUCCCGGCGCGGUCAGCUGAGCUCAGGCGCGCAGACAUCCUUUGAUUAAGGAGGGUAUUUCGGGGAGUGCAGGCUGUGCAGAAGAUCACGGCUGUGCCCUGUGGUGCUGUCAGUAGUGACAGAUCCCAGAUGGGGCCGCUACUGUAUGGCAGAUUGAGUUUCUCAGCAGAAAACUCACCCUCCCUCCUAAACGUCUUCAAAAACCUUCUGCAGAUACUCCAGGUCUCUUCGUGUGAAACUGAAAAAGUCUAACUCCAAAGUUGGUUGUGAGUGCAUGUGUGUGUAUAUGUUACGUGUUUUUUUCUUCCUUCCUCUUUUUUUCUCUGCACUUCCUCCUCCUCCUCCGAGCAUCUUCGACCCGCAGAGCUACCUGGCUGCUAUAGCGUAGAUGUGGCGGGCCUUGGGGGAUUCCUGUUCGCCUAGCUCACAGCGCCAUGCCGACGACCCAGCACCGAAGGGCCCCGAAGGCAAUCCGGUAUCCAAGACUGGCUCCCGGGAAGCAGUCGCGGCCGGGAGAGAGGCGGAAAGGCAGAAAGGAAGGUGCGCCGCACCCAGUUUCCGAGCUCAUUUCCAGGCCCCACCCAUUCCUGCCCUCGCGGUCCUCUUAAACUGUGGAACUUGGCACGUUCCUGCGGGCGAAAAAAAAAAACGAGAGAACAGAAGAAGGGGAGCCCAGAGAGCGCGAAUAUUGUUUUAACAUAAAGAUAAGCAAUUUCUUUUUUCUUCGAGAUACUAGUUCAGCCUCCUCCACCCUACUCCCACAGCCCUUGGGGCGAGGGCAGCUUGCAGAGCCUCUGUUUGGCUUACAAAAGAGCCUCUGGGGAGCAGAGAGAAAGCUAAAAAUACCUCCGUCGCUAGACCCGAGGUCUGGGAGGAGCUCGUCACUUGCUCUGCUCCGGCCCUGUCCAGGAGGGCGCUUUCGCCCUUUCCACUCCGAGGGCCGGGCUGGCGAGGCUAGGGACCCACACUAGUUUUGCCUUCACUUUGCGACCAGACCCGGGUCUUUUGUGGCCAAGCCGGUUACUCUUAGUUAAGAAGACCCCCAAUCCAAUCUCUGGUAAAAUCAGAUGCCACACUUUUGAUGCUUUCCAAUAAGCCCCCUCCACAGACUCAGUUUUUAAAAAGAAAAGAGGUGGGAUCACUAGGCCUCAUUUUAUACCAGAAACAAUCCGGUCACGCAAGGAUUCUUCUCAGGUUUGUGUGAUACGCUGUGUGGAUGUACGCAGUUACUUGCAGAACCAGUGAACCCCUUAUUUCAGCGCUCUCCAGGAAAAAAAAAAAAUAGUUACUUCCCUCUCAUUUUUCCCCUUGGUUAUCCGUAAAAACGCAAAACUCUUUAUAUAAAGGCAAAACACACAGUGAAUUUCAAAACUCCCGCUCGCCCCCUCUGGAAGGCAGCUUUUCUUUUCACUGCCCAUGCUGGAUAAGAGUGGUUUAUUUUUAUUUUUUUUCUUGUACCCACAUGCCUUGUAAAAGGUUCCUGUGCACGGGCCUGGCCCCCCUCUGAUGACCGCAGGGCCUUGCUUCCAGACUGCAGUCCCCGCCACUUGGUUUUUAAGUCCUCGCCUGGAGCCGAGGUGUAAUUGUGACCCCGCCCGAGCCCCGAGCCUCCCGGGGGGAC